rnacentral:rRNA from 1 species
GAUGAACGCUGGCGGCGUGCCUAAUGCAUGCAAGUCGAGCGAACAGAUGAGGAGCUUGCUCCUCUGACGUUAGCGGCGGACGGGUGAGUAACACGUGGAUAACCUACCUAUAAGACUGGGAUAACUUCGGGAAACCGGAGCUAAUACCGGAUAAUAUAUUGAACCGCAUGGUUCAAUAGUGAAAGACGGUUUUGCUGUCACUUAUAGAUGGAUCCGCGCCGCAUUAGCUAGUUGGUAAGGUAACGGCUUACCAAGGCAACGAUGCGUAGCCGACCUGAGAGGGUGAUCGGCCACACUGGAACUGAGACACGGUCCAGACUCCUACGGGAGGCAGCAGUAGGGAAUCUUCCGCAAUGGGCGAAAGCCUGACGGAGCAACGCCGCGCGAGUGAUGAAGGUCUUCGGAUCGUAAAACUCUGUUAUUAGGGAAGAACAAAUGUGUAAGUAACUAUGCACGUCUUGACGGUACCUAAUCAGAAAGCCACGGCUAACUACGUG